CCUACGGGCGGCAGCAGUGAGGAAUAUUGGUCAAUGGACGAGAGUCUGAACCAGCCAAGUAGCGUGAAGGAUGACUGCCCUAUGGGUUGUAAACUUCUUUUAUAAAGGAAUAAAACGUGGCACGUGUGCCUUUUUGCAUGUACUUUAUGAAUAAGGAUCGGCUAACUCCGUGCCAGCAGCCGCGGUAAUACGGAGGAUCCGAGCGUUAUCCGGAUUUAUUGGGUUUAAAGGGAGCGUAGGGGGGUUGUUAAGUCAGUUGUGAAAGUUUGCGGCUCAACCGUAAAAUUGCAAUUGAUACUGGCAGGCUUGAGUACAGUUGAGGGAGGCAGAAUUCGUGGUGUAGCGGUGAAAUGCUUAGAGAUCACGAAGAACCCCGAUUGCGAAGGCAGCCUACUAAACAGAGACUGACAUUGAUGCGCGAAAGUGUGGGUAUCAAACAGGAUUAGAUACCCGAGUAGUC
rnacentral:rRNA from 1 species